rnacentral:rRNA from 1 species
AACGAACGCUGGCGGCAGGCUUAACACAUGCAAGUCGAGCGCCCCGCAAGGGGAGCGGCAGACGGGUGAGUAACGCGUGGGAACGUACCUUUUGGUUCGGAACAACUCCGGAAAACUGGAGCUAAUACCGGAUAAGCCCUAACGGGGAAAGAUUUAUCGCCGAAAGAUCGGCCCGCGUCUGAUUAGCUAGUUGGUGAGGUAACGGCUCACCAAGGCGACGAUCAGUAGCUGGUCUGAGAGGAUGAUCAGCCACACUGGGACUGAGACACGGCCCAGACUCCUACGGGAGGCAGCAGUGGGGAAUAUUGGACAAUGGGCGCAAGCCUGAUCCAGCCAUGCCGCGUGAGUGAUGAAGGCCUUAGGGUUGUAAAGCUCUUUUGUCCGGGAAGAUAAUGACUGUACCGGAAGAAUAAGCCCCGGCUAACUUCGUG